UUCAGUUUAUUGGUCAUCUUUGCAGGUGCUCAGGACAGCUGCAGCACAGGCAGCAACAAUGCGAGCCUUGCCUGCACCACCCCGUCCACGGGCGUCGACCCUCACCUGGAGGGACCACCUCUAGUGGCCCGUACUGUCCAAGGACAGUAGUUGUUCCACAGCC
rnacentral:sRNA from 1 species